UUGAUCUAUUUAUUUCCUCUUCAUCCCAGCCCAAAGUCCCAAACAACAAAAAAAGAGUAAAGGAGGAAACAAAAGCACCUUGAUCAUGUCAGUGUAAGAGCACAAACUCCAGUGGAGCUUUUAGUUUCUUUUUCUUCUUCCUUUUUCUCUAAUAUAUUUAUUCAUUUUCUCUGAAUAGUUUUAUUUUUUCUCCCAGAGAGGGGUGGGGGGUUUUCAUAUCAUUUCAUUAUCUAGCCUUUGGAUGCAUUAAUGUAUUAGUCCAACUUUAUUUUAAGUUAGCUUUUUGUUUCCAAAAGAUCAUUUUCCUUGUUUAAUCAGUUAAUCCUUCACUAAAGAUUAUGUUUACAGCUUGUUUUGCAACAUUAACACCAAAUCAGUCGAAGAUCUUAGAGAAAGAGGCAUUGCAGAUCUGAAGUCUGGAAAAAUUGUCACCCCUCUACCUCCAAAACAGACCUUUUUGGAUGAUCCCCUAAGAGUUCUCGAGCUAUUCAUUUUGGCUGUGUGUUGCUUUCUUGGGUUCAGCUUGGGAGCUUUUAAACCUUAUUGAACUCUCCUCGUUUUCUGUGAGUGUUGCUUCAUGAUGCAGAAAAGUGGAGGGCCAG